rnacentral:rRNA from 1 species
UACGAAGGGGGCUAGCGUUGCUCGGAAUUACUGGGCGUAAAGGGCGCGUAGGCGGUUUGUACAGUCAGACGUGAAAUUCCUGGGCUCAACCUGGGGGCUGCGUUUGAUACGUGCGGACUUGAGUUCGGAAGAGGGUCGUGGAAUUCCCAGUGUAGAGGUGAAAUUCGUAGAUAUUGGGAAGAACACCGGUGGCGAAGGCGGCGACCUGGUCCGAUACUGACGCUGAGGCGCGAAAGCGUGGGGAGCAAACAGG